GCACUUGUUUCGGAAGUACAUAUACUAAAAUUGGAAUGGUACAGAGAAGAUCAGCAUGGCCCCUGCGCAAGGAUGACACGCAGAUUCGUGAAGUAUUCCAUAUUUUU